GCCUCCUUCAAUUUCAGCACAAAUGAACCGUAUUGCAGAUGAAUAGCAAAUCGCAGUUCUACGCUUCACAAGUUUGAAAAUAAACGGUUGAUCUUUUAUCCUCUAGUAAUAUAGCCCUUUCACAACUUUAGAAUCUUGGUUAAAUGAACAACCCCAGUCAUCUGAAAUAUUUUACCUAUUUUAUGACAAAUUACCAUAUGUUUUUUUUUCUUUUCAUUUAAGAUAAUUAUUCGUUUUCUAUUUGAUUAUAACUACUAUUAUAUAUUACAGUUCUUAUCGUGGUUUCUAUGAUUCUAUCUAUUUUCGAAAUUUGUAAUUUUGUUAUUUUGUUUUGUCCUCUGAUCUGAAAACAUGAAAUCGAACCGUACUUGUUAUUUAAAAACAAUGAAAUAUCGUUCAUAUAUCAUAUGAUAAUACGAACUGCUUUCAAUUUCGAUGGCCAAGGAGGGUGAUUGGCCUAAUGAGUUCAUAUAAAGUGAUAAAAAACCUGCGGCGAUUUUAAGAUACGCUCGUGGCGAGAUUUGUUCGACUCCGAUCCUAAUCGACAGUUAUUGCAAAUAUUUUAACUUAAGUUCGCCUGAUGUCCGGCUUCUCCUACCUAUGAUGACAGGUCAAUAAAAUACAACAAAUGUCGCUCUUAACAUGUAGCGGUGUUUAACACCAAAACAAAGAACAAACUUUUAGAAAUAAUUUGAAAACACAUAUAUGUAUAGCGUCCCGAAUCGAAAACGUUCAAAACGUAAGAAAAUUGUUCAGUGGACAAACUUGCAAGACAUUUGAUUUGUUAAAAAACGAAGUCAUUUCGACUUUACAGCUUAUCAAAAAGUAUGUUAUCGUAUUGUGGGGUGAAAGCACAAUUACGCAAAAGCACUAUUUUGUAUGCUACAAAUUUAAUAUUUAAUAUAAUGACGUUGAAACUGACAGUGUUUUGGUAAAAAGCGUCGAAAUUCGACAUUGGACAAUCUUGCAAGACAUUUUCCCGAAGCCAAUGCUUUUUUAUUUGUGGUGCGAGUGCUGUAAAAUUCCGGAUUUG
rnacentral:lncRNA from 1 species